UGCUGGAGUUUCCAGGAGCCCAGGGAAUUCCAGUCCUGCUACUACUGUGGUAUCAAGUGGAAAUACUGGUGGUCCAGAAAAUUCCAGCCCAGGUACCUCCCAGGAAGCAUCUGAAACGACCAUUGCUUCUGGAAUUUCUACCACGGAAACCACUACAGUAGCAACAGGAGAUCAAGAAAUUGAAAAUAAAGAAGGCUGUCCAGCACCACUCCCACCACCUCCAGGUAAGAAUACCUGCACUUGAAAAGCAAUCAUU